AGCCAAAAGAGAAACUUGAGUGAUGCAAAAGUUAAAAUUGCUACGAUGGUGCUCACCACAUCUACUCGCAAGUCAAGUUCCUCAAGAUGAAGCAUUAAUAACGCAGCCCUGACAAAAUAAUGCAAAUUUGAAGAAUUCAUAAACAUAAAAAGAACUAACUACUAAUUAAGGUAUAGACUAGAAGAAAUAAUAAAAAUUAAAAUGUAAUAUAAUACUUAGCUACCUACGUUUCGCUACUUCAUACUGAACUGAACCGGAGUCUGACAAUGCACCACACGACCUUUUUCUGAUUAUGUAAAACGCCAUGAAUAGAAUAAAAUUGAUCACAUCUCACAAGGAAGGAGGAGUGAUAUGGCGAUAUCAUAUUUUCUUGGCGAAGAAGAAAUUACUGUCUCAAUGCGUAAAAUAUUACUCUACGAAGCAAGAAGGCUAAGAAUGAAGAAAGAAAAGAAGGCAAAACAUAAACGCAAAACGCAAAUAGUAGUUCACGACACGACAAGUUCAUCAGUAUCAUGGAAUUAUCGACAUUGGACUUGAAAUCUCAGUUGAAGUUCCGGUAUUGGAUUGACGACAGCAGUCAACUAUCGAUGAACACUGAUUUGAAGAUGCUUGACGUUCUACAAAGGAAGCAAGAAAAUAAUAAUUAGACAUAUUUACAGAUUAAAACAUAGUAG